GAUGAACGCUGGCGGCGUGCCUAAUACAUGCAAGUCGAGCGAACAGACGAGGAGCUUGCUCCUCUGACGUUAGCGGCGGACGGGUGAGUAACACGUGGAUAACCUACCUAUAAGACUGGGAUAAAUUCGGGAAACCGGAGCUAAUACCGGAUAAUAUAUUGAACCGCAUGGUUCAAUAGUGAAAGACGGUUUUGCUGUCACUUAUAGAUGGAUCCGCGCCGCAUUAGCUAGUUGGUAAGGUAACGGCUUACCAAGGCAACGAUGCGUAGCCGACCUGAGAGCGUGAUCGGCCACACUGGAACUGAGACACGGUCCAGACUCCUACGGGAGGCAGCAGUAGGGAAUCUUCCGCAAUGGGCGAAAGCCUGACGGAGCAACGCCGCGUGAGUGAUGAAGGUCUUCGGAUCGUAAAACUCUGUUAUUAGGGAAGAACAAAUGUGUAAGUAACUAUGCACAUCUUGACGGUACCUAAUCAGAAAGCCACGGCUAACUACGUG
rnacentral:rRNA from 1 species